CACAGGAGAGCUUGCUCUCUGGGUGGCGAGUGGCGGACGGGUGAGGAAUACAUGGGAAUCUACCCUGUCGUGGGGGAUAACGUAGGGAAACCUACGCUAAUACCGCAUACGACCGAGAGGUGAAAGCGGCGGACCGCAAGGCGUCGCGCGACUGGAUGAGCCCAUGUCGGAUUAGCUUGUUGGCGGGGUAACGGCCCACCAAGGCGACGAUCCGUAGCUGGUCUGAGAGGAUGAUCAGCCACACUGGGACUGAGACACGGCCCAGACUCCUACGGGAGGCAGCAGUAGGGAAUCUUCCGCAAUGGACGAAAGUCUGACGGAGCAACGCCGCGUGAACGAUGAAGGCCUUCGGG
rnacentral:rRNA from 1 species